UACGAGGUUGAUAGGCGGGAUGUGUAAGCGCUGUGAGGCGUUGAGCUAACCCGUACUAAUUGCUCGUGAGGCUUGAUCAUAUAACC
rnacentral:rRNA from 2 species